rnacentral:rRNA from 1 species
GUUGAUCCUGGCUCAGGAUAAACGCUGGCGGUCUGCUUAACACAUGCAAGUCGAACGCAACCUUCGGGUUGAGUGGCGGACGGGUGAGUAACGCGUGAGAAUCUGCCUUGGGGUCGGGGACAACCACUGGAAACGGUGGCUAAUACCGGAUAAGCCUUUGGGUAAAAAAUUUAUUGCCCNCAAGAGGAGCUCGCGUCUGAUUAGCUAGUUGGUGAGGUAAAAGCUCACCAAGGCAGCGAUCAGUAGCUGGUCUGAGAGGACGAUCAGCCACACUGGGACUGAGACACGGCCCAGACUCCUACGGGAGGCAGCAGUGGGGAAUUUUCCGCAAUGGGCGAAAGCCUGACGGAGCAUGACCGCGUGAGGGAGGAAGGCUCUUGGGUUGUAAACCUCUUUUCUCAGGGAAGAAGCUCUGACGGUACCUGAGGAAUCAGCCUCGGCUAACUCCGUGCCAGCAGGCCGCGGUAAUACGGAGGAGGCAAGCGUUAUCCGGAAUUAUUGGGCGUAAAAGCGUCCGCAGGUGGCGAUUCAAGUCUGCUGUCAAAGCACGGGGGCUUAACUCCGUUAAGGCAGUGGAAACUGAAUAGCUAGAGUGCCGUAAGAGUAGAGGGGAAUUCCCGGUGUAACGGUGAAAUGCGUAGAGAUCGGGAAGAACA